GACGAACGCUGGCGGCGUGCUUAACACAUGCAAGUCGAACGGAAAGGCCUGCUUUCCCUUGUGGAUUGCGGGUACUCGAGUGGCGAACGGGUGAGUAACACGUGAGUGAUCUGCCCCCAACUUGGGUAUAAGCCUGGGAAACUGGGUCUAAUUCCCGAUAGGACUGCAGGGUGGUGCCUGUGGUGGAAAACGAUUUUCUAGUGGUUGGGGAUGAGCUCGCGGCCUAUCAGCUUGUUGGUGGGGUAAUGGCCUACCAAGGCGGCGACGGGUAGCCGGCCUGGGAGGGUGGACGGCCACAUUGGGACUGAGAUACGGCCCAGACUCCUACGGGAGGCAGCAGUGGGGAAUAUUGCACGAUGAGCGGAAGCCUGAUGCAGCGACGCCGCGUGGGGGAUGACGGCCUUCGGGUUGUAAACUCCUUUCGACCGCGAGGAAGCCACCUGGUUGGAAGGGUGGUGACGGUAGUGGUAGAAGAAGCACCGGCUAACUACGUG
rnacentral:rRNA from 1 species